CACGAACCACAAUACAAAACAGGCUACCUAAAUAUGGUUCCCAAUCGCAAAUAAUGGUCUGAGUGUGACAGUGGGCAUAAUCAGACAGGAUGGAUUCUACCUCUCCUCACCACUCGUCUGUUGUACAGGUCAGACAGGAUGGAUUCUACCUCUCCUCACCACUCGUCUGUUGUACAGGUCAGACAGGAUGGAUUCUACCUCUCCUCACCACUCGUCUGUUGUACAGGUCAGACAGGAUGGAUUCUACCUCUCCUCACCACUCGUCUGUUGUACAGGUCAGACAGGAUGGAUUCUAC